rnacentral:rRNA from 1 species
GAUGAACGCUGGCGGCGUGCUUAACACAUGCAAGUCGAGCGAGAAACUACAUGCAGACACUUCGGUAGAAGCGAGUAGCGGAAAGCGGCGGACGGGUGAGUAACGCGUAGGCAACCUGCCCUUCACAGAGGUAUAGCCUCGGGAAACCGGGAUUAAAACCACAUAAAAUCAUAGGUUCGCAUGAACCAAAGGUCAAAGAUUUAUCGGUGAAGGAUGGGCCUGCGUCUGAUUAGCUGGUUGGUAGGGUAAAAGCCUACCAAGGCGACGAUCAGUAGCCGACCUGAGAGGGUGAUCGGCCACAUUGGAACUGAGACACGGUCCAAACUCCUACGGGAGGCAGCAGUGGGGGAUAUUGCACAAUGGGGGAAACCCUGAUGCAGCAACGCCGCGUGAGGUAUGAAGGCCUUUGGGUUGUAAGCCUCUGUCCUAGGGGAAGAAAAAAAUGACGGUACCCGAGGAAGAAG